rnacentral:rRNA from 1 species
AUGCCGUCCCCCACGUGCUACCUCCUCCUGAACCCUUCCAGGGCCUGCCACCGCCUCCUCCCGCCGUCUCCGCGCCUCCCCGCCCGCUGCGCCCGCCUCCGUGUCUCCUGCGACGUGCCGCGGCAGGGGGGUGACGACGGCGGCGGGCCCAAGCGCGGGGUCAUCCCCGCCGGAGCCGGAAAGGGCAAGAAGCAGGUCGUGUUCUUCGACGCCGCGCCGCCGGUGGCCCAGCAGGGAGACGGCGAGGAUGGGAAGGGGAAGGCGCCGGAGGUGAAGCAGGACGGCGCGGCGCUGCGGGCGCUGAGGCGCGCGACCAAGCGAACGCUGUCGGUCCUGUCCAACCUCCCGCUCGCCAUCGCCGAGAUGUUCGCCAUUGCCGGCCUCAUGGCCCUGGGCACGGUGAUUGACCAGGGAGAGCCGCCGAGCCACUACUUCGAGCAGUUCCCCGAGGACAACCCGGUGUUCGGCUUCAUCACCUGGAGGUGGAUCCUCACCCCGGGCUUCGACCACAUGUUCUCCUCGCCGGUCUUCCUCGGCUUACUCGCGCUCCUCGCGGCCUCGCUAAUGGCCUGCACCUUCACCACCCAAUUGCCCAUGGUGAAGGUGGCGAAAAGAUGGUCGUUUAUGAGUUCAGGGGGAAGCAUUAGGAAGCAAGAUUUUGCGGAAUCUCUUCCCCGCGCAUCUAUUCAGGAUUUGGGGGUCAUCUUGAUGGGUGCCGGAUAUGAGGUCUUCACAAAGGGCCCAUCCUUGUAUGCCUUCAAGGGUCUGGCUGGUCGGUAUGCGCCUAUCGGUGUGCACGUGGCGAUGAUUUUUGUCAUGGCAGGUGCCACUCUUUCUGCGACCGGAAGCUUUAAAGGCUCGGUUGAUGUCCCCCAAGGGCUGAAUUUCGUCAUUGGAGAUAUCAUGAAACCCAAAGGCAUUUUCUCCGUCGCACCGGAUGUUUUCAAUACGGAAGUCCAUGUCAAUCGGUUCUACAUGGAGUACUAUGAUAGUGGAGAGGUUUCACAAUUUUAUAGCGAUCUUUCACUUUUCGACCUUGAUGGCAAAGAAGUAAUGAGGAGGACGAUCAAAGUUAAUGAUCCCCUGAGGUAUGGUGGGAUCACGAUAUACCAAACGGACUGGGGGUUUUCAGCAUUACAGGUGAAGAAAAAUGGUGAAGGACCUUUUAACUUGGCCAUGGCACCCUUGCAACUGAAUGGCAAUAAAAAGCUAUACGGAACAUUCUUGCCACUUGAAGACUCUGAUUCUUCAGGUGUCAAGGGAAUAUCAAUGCUUGCUCGAGAUCUUCAGUCUAUUGUGUUGUAUGAUCAAGAUGGCAAGUUUGUAGGAGUUCGCCGGCCAAGCUCUAAACUCCCCAUUGAAAUCAAUGGUAAUGAAAUACUAAUUGAAGACGCUAUUGGCAGUACUGGUCUGGAUCUCAAGACUGAUCCCGGAAUUCCUAUCGUAUAUGCUGGAUUCGGCGCGCUCAUGUUGACGACCUGCAUUAGCUAUCUUUCACAUGCUCAGCUGUGGGCGCUGCAAGAUGGAACUACAGUGGUUGUCGGAGGAAAGUCGAAUCGAGCCAAGAUUGAAUUUUCUGAUGAGAUGAACCGGUUACUUAAUAAAGUACCAGAGUUGGUCAGUGUUGGUGAGAAAACAGUAGAUAAAUCAAGUACUGCGUGA